GGACAUUCCAGAUCUCAUUAUCUCAGUCAGCUCCAGGUGUAAAUGAAUCUGCUCAAGUUUCUGAUGACCUCAGGACUAAAGAGACCAAGUUGCAGGAAGAUGUCAGCUGGGCCUGCAAACAUCUGAUGACUUGACCAGCCUGGAUGUCCAAGAUGGCUCACAUGCAUGGUUUAGAGCUGAUGCUGCUGUUGGCUGUGAGCUCAGCUGGGCUGUCUUCAGUGUCUACAUGUGGGCUUUCCAGCACAGCGCUCUCAGGACACUUGGCCUUCUUCCAUGCUGCUGGUCUACCCUGGAGCUAAUAUCCCAAAAGAACCAGGCAAGAGCUGUCUGAUCAUUUCUGACCCAGUUUUGAAAGUUAAAAACAGUGUCACAUCUGCUGCAUUCUAUUGGUUAUAAGGUGCUCACUAAGUCAUCCCGGAUUCAUGGGUAGGAGACGUAGAUAUCACCCCUCCAUGAGAUGGGUGACAAACAAUUUGCAGUUUACCUUUGGGAUAGCCAUGAGAAUCACUUUAAGUUGGGUUUUGGGGUGAGAGGGAGCAUUGAGAACAUGACCAGUUGGACAUGAAGGUACCCCGGCUGUGGUGAAGAUGGAUUGAGUGGUGAUGCACAGGGCUACUAUAUGCCAUGUCAAGUCAUAUUAUAUGACUAUCUAAUAAAGGCCAUGAAGAAGCCCAAAAGUGUUGCCUCUUAUUUGCAGGAUCAAGACACCCAAGUAGGUUCACACAUUCCAGGGCCAUCAAAU